rnacentral:rRNA from 1 species
GCAGAGGGAUAGCCCAGAGAAAUUUGGAUUAAUACCUCAUAGUAUGUGAGGAUGGCAUCAUUUCACAUUAAAGUCACAACGGCAAAAGAUGAGCAUGCGUCCCAUUAGCUAGUUGGUAAGGUAACGGCUUACCAAGGCUACGAUGGGUAGGGGUCCUGAGAGGGAGAUCCCCCACACUGGUACUGAGACACGGACCAGACUCCUACGGGAGGCAGCAGUGAGGAAUAUUGGACAAUGGGCGCAAGCCUGAUCAGCCAUGCCGCGUGCAGGAUGACGGUCCUAUGGAUUGUAAACUGCUUUUGUACAGGAAGAAACACUACUUCGUGAAGUAGCUUGACGGUACUGUAAGAAUAAGGAUCGGCUAACUCCGUG